AACUUGGUAAGAGGGGAGGCUGAGGGUCCAUCAUCCGUGUUUCAGAUGUGGUGAGGACCUCAGGGUCAAGGUCCGCCAGGGAAUCCAGACUGGCCCCUUCACCCUUGGUGGGGACACGGAUUUGCAGAGUAUGCUCAGCAGCCAGUGACAGCCUCCCGUUCUAAGAGAAAAAUGGACACUUUGGUUCCCAGCCAUUCUGCCAGAGAACCGAAGAUCACUGCAGUUUGAUUUUUACAGAGUCUGUAUCACUCUUGCAGCCUGGGACUCUGAGGUGCAAACUUGGCCAGCCCAGUGAGGUAAUUUUCGGGGUUUUACCAGUUUACCCUCCUAUGAACAGCGUAUGAGGUUCUUUACCUGUCUGUCCUCUUAUCAGGGAGAACUGCUUGUCCGUUAGCCAGCUGCCAUCACAGCUCCCAAGAGCUGACUGGGAUUCCCUGGGAAGGCCGCUGCACCUCCUGGCCAGGCAGUGAAUGGGCUUCCGUGCGGUGGAUGGAGCUGGUCCCAGCGGAUAGGGAGCCGGGCUGGUUUCCCUUCUCGUGUGACAACCCAGGUGUCGGGUAUUCAAGAGGUGGCCUACUCUACAGCUGCCUGGAGGAAGGCGGAGAAGAAACAGCUUGUGCCCAGCAUGGAAUCUUCUGGGGAUUGGUGGAAAAUGACCUCCAGGCUCCCUCACCCCUUGGUCUCUGUGAGUGCUUAGAGCCCACCUGGCCUGUUUGCACCUGACGUCUCCAGUUGCAUCCCUCAGGACUUCCACCGUGGCUCAGACUGUGAAGAGUCUGCCUGUAAUGCAAGAGACCUGGGUUUGAUCUGUGGGUUGGGAAGAUUCCCUGGAGUAAGGAAUGGCAGCCCACUCCAGUAUUCUUGCCUGGAAAAUCCCAUGGACAGAAGAGCCUGGUGGGCUACAGGUCAUGGGAUCGCAAGGAGUCGGACACAACAUGUUUUAUAGCUGAGGAAACUGAAUCAAGAGAGAUAAAGAAACUAAGAAUUAAAAGGUAAAGAGACUUGUCCAGUUAGAGGCAGAGCUGGAGUCUGGACCCAGAAAGUUAGACUCUAGAGCUUAAUCACAGCCCUGUACUGCCUUCCAUUGUUUUGAUAAAAGAAACACAGCACCUCUCAGUUGCGCUGUGGGAAAUGUUGCAGGCUGGUGUCUUUCCGUCUCAAAAUCAGUUUCUUCAGCCUACUUCCCAGUGCCCUAGGGUGUCCUUUGGUCUGAUCUUUGUUUAAAGCUGUCUUUCCUUCCUAUUAAAAUGUGCACACUUAAGGCUUUAUCCCCUCAAGGUCUUCAACACCCUUGAGCAUCAGUGGCUCUAAUAGCUCUAAGAGAUCAUUUUCUUCCAUUUUCAAGACCCCCAAAUUCAAAGGCUUGACAGUGUGGAAAUUUUAGACUCCAAAGGAAGCUUUCUGGGAUUCUUAAGUUGCUUUGAGAUGGGAAGCUUAGCUACGGGCCUGGAACACUUCUAACAGAGCCAAGAUUUCCCUAGCUAGCUCCUAUUAAUUUUGGGGAGAGAGAGAGCACGCAUGAGAUUGAGAGGAAAGAUAGCAAGAACCCUCAAGACUGAUGCUGUAGGUCAUCAUGCAUAGAUAUGCACUUACAUAAAGGCGUUCCAUGCUGUGUAGAGGGCGAAGCUGCUGCCGAGAAUCUGCUUCAAUUACGAUGGAACAUUUCAAUUCCGUCAUCUGCCACAUUCUCUAACCAGAGGUCUUUCAGCACAAGACAAGCUCGUGGGAAAGGGAUCUGAUCUGCGUGAGGGCUUAAUGCCAUGGCCUGUUCUGUAUGUAUCUGUGUUUGUAGAAAAAUUCAGUACUUAAUUGUAUGCUUGGCCUGCUCACCACUAAUUUCUAAAAGAGACAUUCCAAAGCCUUGGUUAGGUUCACUCAUAUCUCAUAAAAGCCAUAACUUGACUGCGGGCACCCCAGAACUAAUCCUGUGUGGAGACAGGGGCAGCAGUCACCUGGGAGAGUUGACGUUUUGGAAGCCCCAUUGUGCAGAGAAUUAUCAGUCCCCUCUCCAACAUCCAUUCCCCUUCCUCUUUCCUAAAUGCAUCCCGAAUUUCCCAGCAUGUGGUUUGAAGACUGGUUGAAGGGAGUUACCCAGUUCUUUUUUGGUUGAAGGCCAUCGGCCUGAUUCCUUCUACAGUGAAUUGGUUCAGGAGUGGGAAUGCGGUGUGAGUGGCUUCAGCAAGAGGAACCCCAGGAAUUCUUUUAAGCCUGUGGAGAAACGCUCUUUCCCUUGAGAUAUGAAUGAGAAAUAUGAGCCCUAUUAGCUCUCCUGUGACCCUGAGAGUCAAGUUGGCUUUAGGAUGAAGAGGAUGCUAAGAAAGGUCCACAGAAAGCUGGGAAGGAAAUGGAUGCUGAGCACCGUUGUUCAGUCACUCAAUCAGACCAUACCUGAAGCCUGUUCUACCUCCAAGAACGUCAGUUCCCUGUAAAGCUUGAGCCUGAGUAGGGGUUUCUGUUACUCGAAGUGAAAAUAACCUGUACUAUUACACCCACCCACCAAAGUGUUGUCCUUUCCUGGUCUGCUUGUGACUGGAAACAGCUGCUAAUAAAAUCAUGCUACACGCAUUACUUCAGGAAACAUUACUCUGGAAUUCCCAUCCCAGGAGGAGUUCCUAAUCUUGUGGAGGAGAAAGAUGUGUCGUGCUACAACAGAUUGGCACAAUCAGUCCUGAGAUGUAGCUGGGACAUGUGCACACAGAGUGACGGGGACCCCAGAGCUUGAAUGCAGUUUCAUGUUGCUGAGCAUCGUUUCAAUAAGAGAAGCAAAGAGCCUCCUAAUUGGGAUAUAGGCUCUGCCCAGAGGAUUGUGGGGAGGUUUUAACAAACAAUAUCUCUGAGAAUGUCAUCACCCACCAAGCACUGUUCUAGGUAGUGGAGAUAGUGCGGUCAGCCUCAGUUGGCUUGGGCUGCUAUAACAAAUACCGGCAACUGGGUAGCUUAUACAACAAGCAUUAUUUCGGACACUUCUGGAGAGUAGAGAGUCCAAGAUCAAGGUGCUGGUUCAUUUUGCC
ensembl:lncRNA